AUGAACGCUGGCGGCGUGCCUAAUACAUGCAAGUCGAGCGAACAGAUGAGGAGCUUGCUCCUCUGACGUUAGCGGCGGACGGGUGAGUAACACGUGGAUAACCUACCUAUAAGACUGGGAUAACUUCGGGAAACCGGAGCUAAUACCGGAUAAUAUAUUGAACCGCAUGGUUCAAUAGUGAAAGACGGUUUUGCUGUCACUUAUAGAUGGAUCCGCGCCGCAUUAGCUAGUUGGUAAGGUAACGGCUUACCAAGGCAACGAUGCGUAGCCGACCUGAGAGGGUGAUCGGCCACACUGGAACUGAGACACGGUCCAGACUCCUACGGGAGGCAGCAGUAGGGAAUCUUCUGCAAUGGGCGAAAGCCUGACGGAGCAACGCCGCGUGAGUGAUGAAGGUCUUCGGAUCGUAAAACUCUGUUAUUAGGGAAGAACAAAUGUGUAAGUAACUAUGCACGUCUUGACGGUACCUAAUCAGAAAGCCACGGCUAACUACGUG
rnacentral:rRNA from 1 species